ensembl:lncRNA
GAUCUCUUCAACUUCAGCUCUCCAUGCUGUAUCUUCAGUGACACAGAGUCAGAGAUGCUGUGCUGAGCGCACUGCAAGGUACCAGUCUACAAAGCUAUCAGUGACACAGAGUCAGAGAUAUGAAAAGCGUCUGGUACUGCAAAGGUAUAGUUCCUUUAUGCCAUAUGGCUGCAUCUAUGGCCUCAAAUGAGUCAAACACGUGGGGGGUUAUACACUAAGGAAGUUAGGAAUUAAAUGGUGGCACAAUAUGUCUCAAGAAGACGAUAAUCCUAAUAAGGACCCUGAUGUGCCACAUGCUGUAUGGAACUAAAGUACAUAUGUGUACUGAUGCAGUGUAUGCACUACGUACCUCAUGUCAACCCACGCCCACAUACACAUCUAUUCCCUCUGUCAGAUCUUUCUAAAGCUGCGUCCUCUUGGACGAGUUCCAUAUAAGGAGGUAUUUCAUUCUGUCUGACCUGAAAGUACUCAGAAGAGGACACAGUGUCAUCUAGUGGUGAUACUGGGUCCUACACUCAUGAGAGAAAAAAAAGAAAAAACAUUUUAUUUGUCACAUGCUUAGUAAAAAAAAAAGGUGUAGGCUAACAGUGAAAUGCUUACUUUGGGCCCUUCCCAACAAUGCAGAGAGAAGAAAAAAAAGAAAUAGUAUAAACUGUUGAAAGAUAAUAACACAAGGAAUAAAAAGAAAAAUAAUAACACAAUGAGUAAUGAUAACUUGACUAUCUACACUGUUUACCAGCACCAAGUCGAUGUGCAAGGUAAUUGAGGUAGAUACUGUAUGUACAUAUAAGUAGGGAUAAAGAGACUAGGCAACGGGAUAGAUGGUAAACAGUAGCAGCAGCAUAUGUGAUGAGUCAAAAGAGUUAGUGCCUGUGGAGGAAAAAGUACCCAAUUGUCAUACAUGAGUAAAAGUUAAGAUAACAUAAUAGGAAAUGUCUUAAGUAAAAGUGAAAGUCCCGCCCCCACACUCCAACUCACUGAACUCACUCACUGCCAGAUCAGAGGCAGUAGGUAUGACCAGGGAUGUUCUCUUGAAUGUAGUGAAGUAAAAGUAUAAGUUGUCAAAAAUAUAAAUAGAAAAGUAAAGUACAUAUACCCCCCAAAAAAUGACUUAAGUAGUACUUUAAAGUAUUUUUACUUAUGUACUUUACACCACUGAUUAGUGCGAAAAGGG